rnacentral:snoRNA from 1 species
UUGGGCUUCAUGAUGAACCAUUGCGGAUGUAAAACUUUGUCACGUCUGAACUGCGCAAACAAUCUUAUGUUGAGAUUUCCGUUGCCUUCCUUCUGAUCAAUCGC